rnacentral:lncRNA from 1 species
AAGUUAUUUGGCAUGCCAAGGCACGUCCCUCCCGAUGCCCGGAACAGUGUUUUCUCCUGAAGGGACAUCUGAGUGGCACACAUCCAUGACAACUGUAACAGUGUUUGACUCCAUCUUCAUGAAGUUAAAAAACAGAUCUUCGGAUCAGCUGUGAUGUCUGCAGAAUGGAUUUAGUUUCUCCCAUAAUUUAAAAAAUAUAGGGUUACAUUAGUCAGUGUUCUCCAGAAAACAGAAUCAAUACUGGUGGUGGGGGGAGAGAUUUUAAGGGAUUGGUUCAUGUGCUUCUGAAGGUUAGCAAGUCCAAAAUCUGCAAUGUGGGCUGGCACUCUGGAGACUGAGGAAUGGGCUGAUGUUGCAGUUCAAAGUCCAAAGGCUGGCCAUCUGCUGCAGAAUUCACUCUUAAGCGGCAAAACACAGAGAAAGCUGCAGACCAGUCCCCAGCCCAGGACUUAAGGGACCAAGCUCCAGAGAAGGUUAAACUUCAACCAACACAGAGUCUGAAGCAAUCUUCGUUUACAAAACAUCACAUGGAUUCAGUAGCUCGAUGAUACUGUGCUAAUCAGGCUGGAUGAGUUGGACUGGAUGAGCAAGAUGCAACUGGAGGCUUCAGUUAAGACACACAUGCUGCAGAGGGUAGGAGAUAAGCACUGUGAAGAUCGAGGGGCCUGCCACAUGGGUAAACAUUUUGGGAUUCCUGUGAUCAGGGGUAUGCUGAAACCUGCCCUCCAAAAUUAAAUGAGGGAGAUCCGCUGUUAUACAGUGGGAGCAGAUAAAUGGGUUGCAUUACCCAAGUGAUCCACAUAGGUGCUUUUGGGCACUCCUUUGCUCAUCUCUAUUGGCAAGUGGGUAAGUUCAGCAACUCCCACUGAGAAGGACAUGGUGACCAAGGGCUCAGAUCCUUUACGGAUGGUCUGCAUCACACCAGGACAUUAGCCACCAAGACAGCAGAGCUCAUAGUUAAGGGUGGGGAAAUCCAGAAUGGAUAGUCUAGGAGGUAGAUAAUGGGUAUCAGUUGCAUCCUUAUGUCCAGCUGUAGUGGCAGUCGUUUGUCCUGUUAACCAUACCAAGUUUCCUGCAGAAAGACAAGCACACUUUGAUCCUGGAAGAGCUGAAUGCAUAUAAAGAAAUAGAUUUGAGUGGUGCAAGGGGUGGACUAUGGCGGCGGAUAUAAAGAUGCCUGCCCAGAUGCGUCUUCAAUAGGGAUAUUUUUGUAGUAGGUGCUGGGAAUCAGCAGAUAGUCUCCAACUAUGUUUGCCUCAAGAACCGAGAGUCACUUGGCCCCAGGUAUACCCAUUCUGGGUUGGCCCACAUCCAGUGAUUUAUCUUGGUGGGGGUCUAAAGGCCUGAUUAUUUGGGUCCACUGCAGGACAAUCCUGACAGGUUGUAAAUGCACCAGUGCCCUCCUUGGAUUUGGCCUAGGCUCUGUGUCCGCAUUGCAGUUGAAUUUCUCCCUUUGCCCUUUCACAGGUGUUAAUCCCUAAUAAAUAUCUUGCCUCACCAUCUACUUGCAGACAAUCCAACCUGUGAUAUGCAGUUUCACUAUGAUGGCAUGGAUUUCUUUUUGUUUAUGAUGCUUGGUAUUAAUUUUUGUUCCUAGAUCUGCGGAUUCAUGGUUUUCAUUAAUUCUGGAAAAUUUUGAUAGCUAUUAUCUCUGUAAAUGUUAUCUCUUCUCAUUUAACUUUGCUUUUUCUGGGAUUCUCGUGUGAUGUAUAUUACUGCUUCUCUUUCUACCCUCUAUAUAAUUUUUCACCUUUUUCUUAUUACUUUGUGCUAAAAUUUUGGUAAUUUUUAAAAUAGACCUCUUCCAGUGCACUAUUUGUCUCUUCUUUGAACAGUAAACUGAUGCUGCAGUCUUUGAUUAAGAUUUAUGUUACAAAAUUUUAUUUUUUACUUCCAAAGUUUUCAGUUAAAAAAAUUAAAUUUGUCUAUUCAUUUCCUCAUAGUAUUUUAUCAAUUGGUUAUAGUUGUAAUUGAAUCCUUUACAAUUUUGUACAUUUUAUACAUGGCUGUUCUAUAUUCUGUAUCUAAUAGUUCCAAUAUCUAAGUCUAAAAGGGCCCAUAUCUGUUUUUGUUUUUCUUUUUUGGUUUGAUUUUUGUUUUGGUUGUUUCUGUCACCUCUUGGAGUGGCUUGCAUUUGUGUGAGUUUGUUGAUCUUUGAUUGUGCAUUCAUUACUUGAUCUUAAUUAGUGAGAGAUAAAUUGAAUAUUGGAAAAGUUUACCCCAGAUAUGAUUUGAUUCUGCUGGUGACCAGUGGGGCUCUAUACCUGAGAGCCCCUUGGUCUGUUCUCACUCUCUUCACAUAGCUAAACCACAGAGUUUUAAUUAUAGAAACUUUAUAAUAUAUUUUAAUAACUGGUAAUACUACCCCUCCCACGGAAGAUCUCAGCUAGUCCAGGAAAUGUGGAGUUUUUUUCCUCUGCCAUAGAGGGCCAUGCUAUUGCUCAACCAGUCUUAGUUAACUAGACUGGUUAACUAAGUCAACCAGAGUUAGUUAACUCUGUCCCUUCCAGCUGCCCCAGCUCUUGGCACCUCUUAUCUAAGGUGAGUUUUUGGAGCUUAGAGAAGGAUCUCUGAACACAUCCUCUAUCUCUCGUGAAAGUAGUCAUGUCUUAGAGUGUAUCCUCAAUAGGAUUUAUUGUUUUGCAGUAGGGGAGUUGCUCAGAGCAUCUAGUUAGCCAUGAUAAUAGAGAUGAUAGCUUUUACUUAAAAAAUAGAACAGGUAAGAACUUAUUAGGCUAAAUGUGUAUGACUGUGUUCAAAUUCCAUUCAUGCUCACACACGUAUUGAGCAUGACUGUAAUGAGAGGAGUUGACAUUUAUUGAAAGCUACUUGUGUGCUUUAUAUAGAUUUUCUUCCAAAAAUGUUUUAUCUUUUUAAGUAUGGAGAAUUUCAAAUAUGUGGAAAAGGAGAGAGAAUAGUAUAAUGGGCCUCUAUGUACCUAUCAUUCACCUUCAAUAAUUUCAAUAUAGCCACUCUAAUUUUAUCUAUUCUCUCAUCUCUUAUUAUUUUAAAGCAAAUUCAAGACAGCAUAUGAUUUCAACCAUAAAUAUUUAAAUAACUGUCUCUAAACAAUAAAUACUGUUUUUUUGA